UCAGACUCACGAUAGUGUAUACAUUCACUGACAGACACUUUUUCAAUAUGCGCCGAUUUCUUUUAACUUGCAAUUGUCAACAUAUUUUUCCUUCCAAGAAUGAUUUAACGAUGUCGGCAACUAUGAUCCUCUUACUCUUAUCCUGUGUUUCUCUUACUUUUUCUGUUGAUGCAAAUACAAUAACAAGCGAGUGUAAAGAAGUUGAUUGGGAAGUUAAAUCAGACUAUGAAGAAGAUGAUUUAUUUCCAUUGAAUGGGCUCACAAGGAGCAGAGAUGUAACACUUAUUUGCAAAACAAAUGCAAAACAUUUGUGUACAAAGUGCAGACAAGUAUGGUAUGGAGGCCCUGACUUUUCAUUACUAUCGCUAGAUGGUUUUCCGUCAGAAUACUCUUCAAAGUAUUGGCCAUUCUUAGGAAAGAAUGGAUUUGAAAUAAUAAUAAGAAAUUUCAGUACGGAAGAUUUGAAUCAAGACUACAUAUGUUCAAUUGGCGAAUGCUCUUGCAAAAGAAACCUGACUAUCAACAUGUUUGACAAGCAUUUAUUAGAAAGGGAUGUACCAGGAGAUGAUUCAAAUUCAAGUUCCAACGGCAAGGACAUACUGAUUGGAGUUGUAAUAGGUAUCGGAGUUAUCGGAACUAUAAUUUCCAUGGCUUUGUUUUGUUUUUUCGCAGCACUCAAAUAUGAAUUUUGUGUACGUAAUGAAAAACAGUUGAACAGAACGGACUCUCCUGUGUUAAACCAUGUUAACAGAUCUGAAUCAGUUAAAUCUAAUUAUAGCCAGAAUAUUCAAAUUCUUAGUGAUGAAACAAAAUACCCAUUUAUCAAACGUUUGACAUACCCCAAAGAUGAAAAAACACAUACAGAGGGAAAAAGAUGGAUUUCCAUCAAACGAGUGGAUCGCGAUAAUGGAUUUGACUACAAUUACGAUACAGAUAGUAUUUGAUGUUUUAUUUGUCUGAAAUACUGAAAUAGCAUGUGUAUUAUCGAUCAUCGUUGCAUUGAUAAGUAUUAUAUAUACUUAUAUAUAAUUGUAAAGGACGCUGAAAGUACAUCAAUCAUUGUCCAAUCUCAUUUUUAUUUGUACCCAGGCAUAAAUACAUGAUGCAUUUGAAAAGCAGAUUUUAAUAGAAUAGAUUGCUAUAAACACAAAAUACUUUUACUCAUAAACAUACAAUUACAAAAUUUAUUUGCUUUUCUCUAAAUAUGAAUAAUUUAUACAUAAUUUUUAAACCUUUGACAACGAAAUUGCGGACGGUACGUUUUUGUCAAUAAAUUGUUAUAUUUGAAACUAAAAAUACAAAAGCACAUCCAAUUGUACCUUUACUGCUAUUAAUGAAAAAGCAGGAUUUUCAAUAUAAAGGAUCUCUCAUAGUCAGUUGUUGAAAAUUUCUUGUCAAUCUACAGUAAAUGUUUAAUGAGUAAUUUUUGUUUUAAAAACAUAUACUGAGAUUUCAGAACCAUAUUAAAAAUCAAAGGUGUUAAACUGUGUGAUCAAAAUGCGUGUGCAUUACA